rnacentral:lncRNA from 1 species
AACGAAGGCGAGAACUCCAGGCCCGAAGCUCCGCUCACCCCGAGGGUCAGAGGUCCAGCCUCCUCGCUCGGAUGUCUGGAGUUGGUCCCCAGGGACGUCCCCACCUCCUCCCAGGCCGGGUCCACUUUUGCGCCAGCCACAAGGGCUCGGCCUGCAGGACUCCAGCUCCCCCUGCCUGGAAGGAGGGAAGAGGGAGGCGAGAAUUUGAACUGAUUAGGGAGGAAACCCUUCCGUAAAAAGCUACCCGCUCCCGCGGCGCCCCAGUGGCAGGCACUGGGGAAGCUCGCGACCGGAGCAAAUCGCGGUGUCAAUCCGGGCGGCCGAGACGCCCCAGCCUGAGAUCUCGAGGGAAUCAGGGACAGCUGUACUAGGUUCAGGUUAGGCCACAGCCCUGGGAGUCUGAAGGAGGGUCGUGAGAACUCGGGCGACAGGGCCAGGUUGGGGGACGGACGGCAGUGCCGGUUCGUCAGGCCUGCAACGAGUGGCAAGAAGUCUCCUCUCCGGCAUCCCCGCCCCGCCGCUUCCGCUUCAGCGGGACUGGGCAUUUGGAAUGCUCCUCUUCGGGAUCCGGCAACAGGAGCUGCAGUGCACGUCUUAUCGAAGAAGGGAGCUUCGGUUCUUUUCCUCCCUCCAUUCCUUCCACUCUCUCCUCUCGACAGAUGUUGAAAACUCCUUGGCCUAGCCUAAAAUACCAGCGGACAGUUCCACCUCCAGCUAAUGAAGAAAACUCCUCUGGAAUACCUUGGAAUUUUCAGCCAGCUUCUGCUUCAUUUCUUCCAGUAGAAGAGGAAUCACUACCUCACAAGACAUCCAUUGACUUGGGGGCAGCUUUAUUUGUUAAGAGUGUCUUGUUUAUAGAACUCUUUUUUUCCUUAGUAAAGUAUAGAGGAUUUCAAAGUCAUUUGCUUAGAUUUCAUCAAAGAUGAUCAUAUUAUCUUGUGUUGGGCUUCUUUAUCUUGAAAUACAAAGAAUUCGCCAUUGUUUGGCUUCUAGGUUAAGACUACUGUUUGUGGAGAACACAAGCAAAAGCUAAAGCUUUGAGAAAGUAUCAGGAUUUGGUAUUCAGCAUACAUGUUGCAGGGCUACCCAUGGCCUUGCUCUGAGACCUACUUGGAGAGCCCUAGUUAUUUAUCACUUCCCCCAGGGCUGGGUUCAGACUAUACUGAUGGUAAAAGUUUUGUAGAAUGGUUGUUAGAAUCUCAUGUUCUCUUUUUAGCCAGA